ACCUGGGUAGCUCUGUUGGUUGAGCGUCCGACUUUGGCUCGGGUCACAUUCUCACAGUUCGUGGGUUCGAGCCCCGCAUCAGGCU
rnacentral:tRNA from 1 species